AUUGAACGCUGGCGGCAGGCCUAACACAUGCAAGUCGAACGGUAGCACAGAGAGCUUGCUCUCGGGUGACGAGUGGCGGACGGGUGAGUAACGUCUGGGAAACUGCCCGAUGGAGGGGGAUAACUACUGGAAACGGUAGCUAAUACCGCAUAACGUCGCAAGACCAAAGUGGGGGACCUUCGGGCCUCACACCAUCGGAUGUGCCCAGAUGGGAUUAGCUAGUAGGUGGGGUAAUGGCUCACCUAGGCGACGAUCCCUAGCUGGUCUGAGAGGAUGACCAGCCAAACUGGAACUGAGACACGGUCCAGACGCGUACGGGAGGCAGCAGUGGGGAAUAUUGCACAAUGGGCGCAAGCCUGAUGCAGCCAUGCCGCGUGUAUGAAGAAGGCCUUCGGGUUGUAAAGUACUUCAGCGGGGAGGAAGGCGGUGGAGUUAAUAACUUCACCGAUUGACGUUACCCGCAGAAGAAGCACCGGCUAACUCCGUGCCAGCAGCCGCGGUAA
rnacentral:rRNA from 1 species